rnacentral:rRNA from 1 species
CUGAUUUUGCUGCUCCCGCAGAACAGAUGACACCGGCGGCGAUCCGAGGCACGCCGGCUAUGGCGGUGCGGCAGCCCCGUUCGUCGGAGCAGCGUGCCUGGCUCAAGGCCGCACGCUCCUCCACCGAAUGGUGCUAGCCGUGUCAACCUCAUGGUGCGCAGGGAGCUAGUCCGUGCCGGCGACGCGCACGAGGCGCUCGACGGCGAGGCGGGGAGGCGACCGCCGGCGCCUGAUCUCUGGUAGUCGAUGACGACGACGUGCGCGGCAUAGGGGCCGCGCAACGUUCGCGUCCAUAAGGCGUCGCCGCCGGCCAUUUCUUUCCGCGCGUCGUCCCGUGAGACAGCGGCGUCGCCGGUGUUGGGACCCCGAAGGAGAGCACCGGCACGGCGUCAUUAGGAAUCAGCAAGAGAUAGCCCAUGGCUCCACCUUGGGGUCUCCGGCAGUGAAGACAUGCCCGGGGAAGAAGGGCAGCACCACCUGGGUGACGUAGAUGGCAGCAGGCGCUUGUGGAGAUGCAGCAGCUGGUCCAGGAGCCUCGCUGGUGGCAGCAGGAAACCGCCGGCACUGCCUUCACGGCGGCCGAUGGUGGUCGAUGGUCUUCACAUACCUCACCACACGUUUAGGAUCGACAGUUGGGGGGCUUUGAUCGUGGUUCUCUUGGUUUGUUUACCGUGAGAUCAAUUCCAACACGGUGAGGUUCUGGAGGCCGACCUCCUCCUGCCCGCCGCAAUCCCUGGCCCAGCUGAGGCCGAGGCCGAGGGCGGCGCCCUCCCAGUCCCACAUGCUGAGGGCGGGGAUCUUCCUGCCGCGGCUGAGGUCGACCUGCCCCCGCCCGCCGACGCCGAGGGCGGUGAUCUUCCUCCGGUGGAGCGCCUACCGGUCAAGCUGGUGGACACCUACAUCGAGAUGACCGGCGUCCGCGCGCAGGCGCAGGUUGUCUACCAGGGGUGGCAGCAGGCGCGCGCAGACACGCAGGAUCCUGUGGCCUGGAAGACCCUCGGGGCAAAGCUCGGGAAGGUUCAGCGGGAUCAGGAGAGGCUGCUCGACCGCUACGACACGCUGGACGCGCUUGCGCGUCGACUCCGCCUCGAGAUCGCCGCCCGCCGCGGCCAGGGCGGCCGCAGUGCCGCAGCCAGACAUGUCACAUCCACGGGAAUUUCUGAUUCGUUAGACUCCGAUUCUGAAUCCGGGAUGUUCUUGCUUGGCCGCGCCUGUUAGAUAGAUUGCAGCUUCUGAGACCGCUUUAGAUUUUCUUGUGCAAAUGUUAGAACCUUGGAUACCACAGUAGUGUAAAGCAAACACGCUUGUAAAAUUCAGUAUCGUGCUAUGGCUUGUCAGAAACAUACAACAUACAAGAAGCCAUUUCCUACAUUCAGAAACUUCAGCAACAUAUUCCGUU